CCUACGGGGUGCAGCAGUGAGGAAUAUUGGUCAAUGGACGAGAGUCUGAACCAGCCAAGUAGCGUGAAGGAUGACUGCCCUAUGGGUUGUAAACUUCUUUUAUAUGGGAAUAAAAUGUUCCACGUGUGGGAUUUUGUAUGUACCAUAUGAAUAAGGAUCGGCUAACUCCGUGCCAGCAGCCGCGGUAAUACGGAGGAUCCGAGCGUUAUCCGGGUUUAUUGGGUUUAAAGGGAGCGUAGGUGGAUUGUUAAGUCAGUUGUGAAAGUUUGCGGCUCAACCGUAAAAUUGCAGUUGAAACUGGCAGUCUUGAGUACAGUAGAGGUGGGCGGAAUUCGUGGUGUAGCGGUGAAAUGCUUAGAGAUCACGAAGAACUCCGAUUGCGAAGGCAGUUCACUGGACUGCAACUGACACUGAGGCUCGAAAGUGUGGGUAUCAAACAGGAUUAGAUACCCCUGUAGUC
rnacentral:rRNA from 1 species